GGGAAAGGCGUAUUAAUUAAUUAAUAAUUGAUAAUAAUUAAUAAUUAAUUAAUUUAAAAAAUAGGAAUAAGUAAAGUAGGGGAAGGUAAUCUAAUAAGAAUUGAGCUAGAAUACUUUUAGAAGUACCAACCCCUUGGUGUUUUUAAGUUUCUAACCCUUAGAUUUACUCCUUAAUUAUUAAUACUCCUUGAAUCAAACACUAUUCCACCUACCACCACGUAUCAUUAUCAUCUCAACCCUAUAUCUCUCCAUCCAAUGAUUAAAAACUCAAAAGCACCAACCCCUUGGUGUACUUUUGGAGAGUAUUCUAGCUCAACUAUAUAUAUAUAUAUAGGCUACUAUACUCUUAUGAGUACGAUCGUCCUCGUACUCAUAAGUUGUUUUCGAUGAUACAGCUUCCGAAUCGACGAUCCACACCAUUAAACGUUAUCUAUAGCAUUUAAAACUUCUAGAAAUCAAAUUUUAUAAUUUUUCGAUAUCAUUUACCUUACGAUCAAAAGCUCACAAAAUUAACAAUUUUUAACGGCCGGUAUGAGAUAUUUACUAGUUUAACGGUGAAAAAGAAUCGUAAUAGGUUAAAUUUUUGAUAGAAAAUUCUAUUCACUACCUAAAUAAAAAUCAAUAACUCCGAUCUUAAAUCGAAGGAUCCGAUCAUCCAUUUUUAGAAUAUCGUUUGAUUUUAACCGUUCAUUUUAUACCCACUUGAUGGAUUUUAUAAUGAUUUCGAAAAAUUACAAAUUUUAUUUUCUAAAAGUUUCAAAUACUCUAGAUCAUAUUUAACGGUGUGGAUCGUCGAUUCGAAAACUUUAACGUCGAAAACAAUUUAUAAGUACGAAGGGCUCUAUACUCAUAAGAGUAUAGUAGCCCUACUCUCUCUCUCUCUCUAUAUAUAUAGAACUAGGCCGGACUCUAUAUAUAGAUAUUCAUUUAAUUUCGAGUCGGGUUAUAGUCUGAAUACUUAAGUUAAUAAUGUAUCCAACGGAUUUAUUUGAGCAGGUUUGAGUAGUUACUACCCAUAUACUACCCACUUAAAAUCGGAUACGGAUCAUAUAUAAGUUUGUCUAGAUCAAGUAGGGGUAUUCGUAUGCAUAUAUUUUUCAUAAACUUUAUUAAACAAUCUAUAGACAAGCCACAAAUCUUUUACUGUAGAAAACUCGCGUUCUAAUGAGUUGCAUCCGAUCUAAUAAAAUUCGUUCAAAAUAAAGAUUCAAAUAGUAAAUAGAGCGGCUAAGAUUUAAAAAUUGAAAAGUAAAAUAAACAAAAUAAAACAGUAAACAGAGCGACUGGGAUUUGCAUCUAGGAUGUAAAUAUAUAAAGACCGUUCAACUAUAAAUCUUAUUGAAAUUGAUUCUUCAAUUUCAAAUCUUUUUUAUGUACUAUCGAGUAUUUCAUUGGGUCCAGAUUCAGAUCCGGAUUUGAAAACUCUUUUAGACUCUACUCAUUAA
rnacentral:lncRNA from 1 species